rnacentral:rRNA from 1 species
AGCAAAAUUGGCACAGCCCAAAACGUCAGGCCGAGGUGUAGCGUAUGAGAAGGGAAGAAAUGGGCUACAAUUGCUAAAACAGCUGAAACGAAUUGUAACGCUGAAACUGCACACAUGAAGGAGGAUUUAGAAGUAAGGGAACAAACAGAGUGUCUCCCUGAAAUGGUUCUGAAGCGUGCACACACCGCCCGUCACUCUCCCCAAGCUAGAACCUUCUUAGUAACUAAAUAAUAGCACCCUACAAAGGGGAGGCAAGUCGUAACAUGGUAAGUGUACCGGAAGGUGUACUUGGAAGAAUU